UGGGGAAUAUUGCACAAUGGGCGCAAGCCUGAUGCAGCCAUGCCGCGUGUAUGAAGAAGGCCUUCGGGUUGUAAAGUACUUUCAGCGGGGAGGAAGGCGAUAAGGUUAAUAACCUUGUCGAUUGACGUUACCCGCAGAAGAAGCACUGGCUAACUCCGUGCCAGCAGCCGCGGUCAUACGGAGGGUGCAAGCGUUAAACGGAAUUACUGGGCGUAAAGCGCACGCAGGCGGUCUGUCAAGUCGGAUGUGAAAUCCCCGGGCUCAACCUGGGAACUGCAUUCGAAACUGGCAGGCUAGAGUCUUGUAGAGGGGGGUAGAAUUCCAGGUGUAGCGGUGAAAUGCGUAGAGAUCUGGAGGAAUACCGGUGGCGAAGGCGGCCCCCUGGACAAAGACUGACGCUCAGGUGCGAAAGCGUGGGGAGCAAACA
rnacentral:rRNA from 1 species